rnacentral:rRNA from 1 species
GAUGAACGCUGGCGGCAGGCUUAACACAUGCAAGUCGAGCGGGGUGAGGUGCUUCGGUACUGAUCCUAGCGGCGGACGGGUGAGUAAUGCUUAGGAAUCUGCCAUUUAGUGGGGGACAACAUUCCGAAAGGAAUGCUAAUACCGCAUACGUCCUACGGGAGAAAGCAGGGGAUCUUCGGACCUUGCGCUAAAUGAUGAGCCUAAGUCGGAUUAGCUAGUUGGUGGGGUAAAGGCCUACCAAGGCGACGAUCUGUAGCGGGUCUGAGAGGAUGAUCCGCCACACUGGCACUGAGGCACGGCCCAGCCUCCUACGGGAGGCAGCAGUGGGGAAUAUUGGACAAUGGGCGGAAGCCUGAUCCAGCCAUGCCGCGUGUGUGAAGAAGGCCUUUUGGUUGUAAAGCACUUUAAGCGAGGAGGAGGCUACCUGGAUUAAUACUCUAGGAUAGUGGACGUUACUCGCAGAAUAAGCACCGGCUAACUCUGUGCCAGCAGCCGCCGUAA